rnacentral:rRNA from 1 species
GAUGAACGCUGGCGGCGUGCUUAACACAUGCAAGUCGAACGAAGCACUUUAUUUGAUUUCCUUCGGGACUGAUUAUUUUGUGACUGAGUGGCGGACGGGUGAGUAACGCGUGGGUAACCUGCCUUGUACAGGGGGAUAACAGUUGGAAACGGCUGCUAAUACCGCAUAAGCGCACAGCAUCGCAUGAUGCAGUGUGAAAAACUCCGGUGGUAUAAGAUGGACCCGCGUUGGAUUAGCUAGUUGGUGAGGUAACGGCCCACCAAGGCGACGAUCCAUAGCCGACCUGAGAGGGUGACCGGCCACAUUGGGACUGAGACACGGCCCAAACUCCUACGGGAGGCAGCAGUGGGGAAUAUUGCACAAUGGGCGAAAGCCUGAUGCAGCGACGCCGCGUGAGCGAAGAAGUAUUUCAGUAUGUAAAGCUCUAUCAGCAGGGAAGAUAAUGACGGUACCUGACUAAGAAGCACCGGCUAAAUACGUG